rnacentral:rRNA from 1 species
GAUGAACGCUGGCGGCGUGCCUAAUACAUGCAAGUCGAGCGAACGGACGAGAAGCUUGCUUCUCUGAUGUUAGCGGCGGACGGGUGAGUAACACGUGGAUAACCUACCUAUAAGACUGGGAUAACUUCGGGAAACCGGAGCUAAUACCGGAUAAUAUUUUGAACCGCAUGGUUCAAAAGUGAAAGACGGUCUUGCUGUCACUUAUAGAUGGAUCCGCGCUGCAUUAGCUAGUUGGUAAGGUAACGGCUUACCAAGGCAACGAUGCAUAGCCGACCUGAGAGGGGGUCCGGCCAAACUGGAACGGGGACACGGUCCGGACCCCUAGGGGAGGCAGCAGUAGGAAAUCUUCCGAAAUGGGCGAAAGCCUGACGGAGCAACGCCGGGUGAGUGAUGAAGGUCUUCGGAUCGUAAAACUCUGUUAUUAGGGAAAAACAUAUGUGAAAGUAACUGUGCCCAUCUUGAAGGUACCAAAGAAGAAAGCAACGGCAAACUGCGU